rnacentral:rRNA from 1 species
AUUGAACGCUGGCGGCAGGCCUAACACAUGCAAGUCGAGCGAGCGGCGGACGGGUGAGUAAUGUAUGGGGCUCUGCCUGAUGGCGGGGGAUAACUACUGGAAACGGUAGCUAAUACCGCAUACCCUCAGCUGAACCCAUAUGGGAUUAGCUAGUAGGUAAGGUAACGGCUUACCUAGGCGACGACCCCUCUCUGGUCUGAGAGGAGGAUGAGCAACACUGGGACUGAAACAGGGCCAAGACUCCUACGGGAGGCAGCAGUGGGGAAUAUUGCACAAUGGGCGCAAGCCGGAUGCAGCCAUGCCGGGGGUAUGAAGAGGGCCUUCGGUUUGAAAAGUACUUUCAGUCGGGAGGCGUUACCGACAGAAGAAGCACCGGCUAACUCCGUGCCAGCAGCCGCGGUAAUUC